CAUCGGCAGCUCAAUAGUGUGAGUUGCACAGGUGGCAGGAGGGGACGCCGCACCUCGGCACGUCGUGGAGGGUUGCUGCCGUGUGUCACUGCACUGCGCCUCACUACGGCAUGCGGUAGCCACGCCGCGCACUGUCGCAACAAAAUGUGAGCUCUCCGACACCCACCGCACGCGGUCGACCUGCGAACCACCUACACCGCCGCGACGCGCUGCGUGACCCCCUCCAUUGUCUCGUGCUCGCUGUCGUAGUGUCGUGUGCGCUCCGUGCCGGCCGUUGCCAUGGCCGUGGAGUGGGGCAAGAUCCGUGGAGGCGCGCAUGGGGCGAGCAUAUCAACCCACACUCAUUAGUUCUGGCUGGGCGUCAUUUGGACUGGGCGGCAAAGAUGGCGAAUUCCAGCGCCUCGGGUGCCUCAGGGAGUUCUAGCGACGCAUUAUACAGGGAGCUAUGGCAUGCUUGAGCUAGGCCAUGGAUCACAGUGCCUUGCAAAGGUGAAAGGCUUUACUACUUCCUGCAUGGUUAUAUGGAACAGACCAAUGUCUCAAGAAGCAUUUGUUCAAUUUAAUGAUCUGCAAGAGCUGCUCAACAACAGAGAGGUUUCAACGGGAAAGGACAUCUGGUCCUACACUUUGUCAGCACCAAAAUACUCCUCCAUUAAGAUGUACAAAGCCAUCCAAGGGAAUCAGUCGGCUCAUAACACUUUCAAACUACUGUGAAAAACAUCAUGCCGACUAAGACAUAAGAUCUUCUUCUGGCUUCUUUUACAUACCAGGAAUUUGCUUCAAAGAAAAAGUAUGUACCUAGAAGACUAUAAUUGUGCCCUAUGCUAUGAGCACACAGAAGAGACGAGUGUGCAUCUAUUCUGGGACUGUCCAUUUGCUCUCAUGUGUUGGCACUCCAUUGUUCCCAACAAGCACCGACGGAUGUCCACAUAUGAUGAGAUUCACCUAUGCCUGACAGCACUUGACCCAGAU